rnacentral:misc_RNA from 1 species
AAGUCGUAACAAGGUUUCCGUAGGUGAACCUGCGGAAGGAUCAUUACAGAGUUCAUGCCCUUCGGGGUAGAUCUCCCACCCUUGUGUAUCAUUAUAGAAUGUUGCUUUGGCGGGCCGCGCCUCGUGCGCCUAGAUUCGCGUCUAGCGUGCUCGCCAGAGGACCCCUAAACUCUGAAUAUUAAUGUCGUCUGAGUACUAUUAAAUAGUUAAAACUUUCAACAACGGAUCUCUUGGUUCUG